rnacentral:lncRNA from 11 species
UGAAUGAGGGAAAGCUUUUGCAAUAAAUACCUAAGGACAAAUGGAUAUAGACAGCUGCAUGUGCCUGGCUCCAUCCACACUACCAUGUAAUGCAGAUUCAGUAUGAAUAUGGAAUUAUAGAGUUUAUACAAAGAUAUAUAUAUACAGAGUCAAUUUACUGUGGAUGAAGACUGCAAUACUUCUCCAGACCUCUUGUCUUGAUAGAUCAGAUGCCAAAUCGCCCGCCAAUGGAAGGCUCCAAAGAACCAGCUCAACUCAUCCCACCAAACCCCAAAGAAUCCAUCCCUUCCCACAAUGUCCCUCCAUGACCCUCCCACCAUGCCCUUCUUCUUCCAGCACCUUCCCCCUCCCAUUGCCUUCCACAACCCUCUACCUCCUCCCAUGUGCCCCAUUCACCGGAAUCACUUUGACCACAAGUGUCACGACCCAGGCUGCAGAGCACCAAUAACCAUACACAGAGGCCAGAAUCUAUCUAAUAUCUUUAUUAAGGAAAUAUAUAAAGUCAAUAAAAAUAAGUGUAGAAUGUAGUUCAGAAGAAGACCUUUCAGGAAAGGUCAAUUAUAGUCCAGAAAAACAAUGUCCAAUAUAAAAUAUUAGGUCCAAAGUUGUAAUCCAAUAACCGAAACUCUCACUUUGCCAAGCAAAGUGAGGGGAGAUGACAAGGUUCUUAGUCCAAGGAACUUGAGGCAAAGGCUAGGAAGUAAACUUGAUUCUUGGAACACAAGGCUUGAUACAAGGCAGCAAGGAACGAGGAACAGGGACAAAAUCCGUGGUAAAAUACUUGACAAGGUCCUGGAAGACAAGGCUGAGUCCUAGGAAGCAAGGCAAGGUCCGUGGAGGUAAACAAGGCUGGGAAC